rnacentral:rRNA from 1 species
CGGCCCGAGUUGUAAUUUGUAGAGGAUGCUUUAGGUGCGGUGCCUUCUGAGUUCCCUGGAACGGGACGCCUUAGAGGGUGAGAGCCCCGUAAAGUCGGACACCAAGCCUGUGUAAAGCUCCUUCGACGAGUCGAGUAGUUUGGGAAUGCUGCUCAAAAUGGGAGGUAAAUUUCUUCUAAAGCUAAAUACCGGCCAGAGACCGAUAGCGCACAAGUAGAGUGAUCGAAAGAUGAAAAGCACUUUGAAAAGAGGGUUAAAAAGUACGUGAAAUUGUUGAAAGGGAAGCGCUCAUGACCAGACUUGUGCCCUGCGGAUCAUCCAGCCUUCUGGCUGGUGCACUUCGCUUGGUUCAGGCCAGCAUCGGUUUCCCGAGGGGGAUAAAAACUUCAGGGACGUGGCUCCUCCGGGAG